ACAGGGUGAGGUAGUAGGUUGUGUGGUUUCAGGGUUGUUAUUUUACCCCAUCGGGAGUUAACUAUACAACCUACUGCCUUUCCUGG
rnacentral:pre_miRNA from 11 species